CAAUAGCGUAUAUUAAAGUUGUUGCGGUUAAAAAGCUCGUAGUUGGAUCUCGGCAGGCAGGGGGUGGUUCGCUCUUAGCGCUACUGCCCCAUUUGCCUGUGUGAUUGGCGGAGGUUUCGGGGUGCUCUUCGUUGAGUGACCCGGGGCGCCGUCAGGUUUACUUUGAAAAAAUUAGAGUGCUCAAAGCAGGCUUUUCACGCUUGAAUAUUCGUGCACGGAAUAAUGGAAUAGGAACUCGUUUCUAUUUUGUUGGUUUUCGGAAAUCGAGUUAAUGAUUAAUAGGGACAAUUGGGGGCAUUAGUAUUCAGACGACAGAGGUGAAAUUCUUGGACCGUCUGAAGACUAACUACUGCGAAAGCAUUUGCCAAGAGUGUUUUCAUUAA
rnacentral:rRNA from 1 species